UACGGAGGGGGCUAGCGGUGUUCGGAAUUACUGGGCGUAAAGCGCACGUAGGCGGCUUUGUAAGUUAGAGGUGAAAGCCCAGGGCUCAACCCUGGAAUUGCCUUUAAGACUGCAUCGCUAGAAUUGUGGAGAGGUAAGUGGAAUUCCGAGUGUAGAGGUGAAAUUCGUAGAUAUUCGGAAGAACACCAGUGGCGAAGGCGACUUACUGGACACAUAUUGACGCUGAGGUGCGAAAGCGUGGGGAGCAAACAGG
rnacentral:rRNA from 1 species